CUGCUGCCUCCCGUAGGAGUCUGGUCCGUGUCUCAGUACCAGUGUGGGGGGCCUUCCUCUCAGAACCCCUACGCAUCGUCGCCUCGGUGGGCCGUUACCCCGCCGACUAGCUAAUGCGCCGCAUGCCCAUCCGUGGCCGGGAUUGCUCCCUUUGGCGGCCUUGGGAUGUCCCUAGGCCGCGUUACGCGGUAUUAGACGGGGUUUCCCCCGCUUACUCCCCCUGCCACGGGCAGGUUGCAUACGUGUUACUCACCCGUGCGCCGGUCGCCGGCAACGG
rnacentral:rRNA from 1 species